UUCAGGUUGAUCCUGCCGGACCUGACUGCUAUCUGAUUGGUACUAAGCCAUGCGAGUCGUUGUACAAUACAAGGCGGACUGCUCAGUAACACGUAGUUAACUUAACCUAUGGAUGGGAAUAACCUCGGGAAACUGAGAAUAAUACCCAAUGGGCCACAGUGCCUGGAAUGGCCUGUGGUUGAAAUGAUUUAUCGCCGUAGGAUAGGACUGCGGCCUAUCAGCUUGUUGGUGAGGUAAUGGCCCACCAAGGCUAUAACAGGUACGGGCUCUGAGAGGAGGGGCCCGGAGAUGGGUACUGAGACACGGACCCAGGCCCUAUGGGGCGCAGCAGGCGAGAAACCUUUGCAAUGUGCGAAAGCACGACAAGGUUAAUCCGAGUGUCUCCUGCUAAAGGAGUCUUUUGUCAGUUGUAGAAUCACUGGUGAAUAAGGGGUGGGCAAGUUCUGGUGUCAGCCGCCGCGGUAAAACCAGCACCUCGAGUGGUCAGGAGGUUUAUUGGGCCUAAAGCAUCCGUAGCCGGUUGCAUAAGUUUCGGUUAAAUCUAUGCGCUUAACGUAUAGGCCGCCGAAAAUUACUGUGCAGCUAGGAGUGGGAGAGG
rnacentral:rRNA from 1 species